rnacentral:rRNA from 1 species
AGAGUUUGAUCCUGGCUCAGAUUGAACGCUGGCGGCAGGCCUAACACAUGCAAGUCGAGCGGAAACGGCAGUAUUGAAGCUUCGGUGGAUUUACUGGACGUCGAGCGGCGGACGGGUGAGUAACGGCUGGGAACCUGCCCUGACGAGGGGGAUAACCGUUGGAAACGACGGCUAAUACCGCAUAAUGUCUUGAUUCGUUAGAGUCAGGACCAAAGGUGGCCUCUACAUGUAAGCUAUCGCGUUGGGAUGGGCCCAGUUAGGAUUAGCUAGUUGGUAAGGUAAUGGCUUACCAAGGCAACGAUCCUUAGCUGGUUUGAGAGGAUGAUCAGCCACACUGGGACUGAGACACGGCCCAGACUCCUACGGGAGGCAGCAGUGGGGAAUAUUGCACAAUGGGGGAGACCCUGAUGCAGCCAUGCCGCGUGUGUGAAGAAGGCCUUCGGGUUGUAAAGCACUUUCAGCAGUGAGGAAGGUCGUGUACUUAAUACGUGCACGGCUUGACGUUAGCUGCAGAAGAAGCACCGGCUAACUCCGUGCCAGCAGCCGCGGUAAUACGGAGGGUGCGAGCGUUAAUCGGAAUUACUGGGCGUAAAGCGCAUGCAGGCGGUUUGUUAAGUCAGAUGUGAAAGCCCGGGGCUCAACCUCGGAACCGCAUUUGAAACUGGCAGGCUAGAGUCUUGUAGAGGGGGGUAGAAUUUCAGGUGUAGCGGUGAAAUGCGUAGAGAUCUGAAGGAAUACCAGUGGCGAAGGCGGCCCCCUGGACAAAGACUGACGCUCAGAUGCGAAAGCGUGGGUAGCAAACAGGAUUAGAUACCCUGGUAGUCCACGCCGUAAACGCUGUCUACUUGGAGGUUGAGGUUUUAGACUUUGGCUUUCGGCGCUAACGCAUUAAGUAGACCGCCUGGGGAGUACGGCCGCAAGGUUAAAACUCAAAUGAAUUGACGGGGGCCCGCACAAGCGGUGGAGCAUGUGGUUUAAUUCGAUGCAACGCGAAGAACCUUACCUACUCUUGACAUCCAGCGAAGCCUUUAGAGAUAGAGGCGUGCCUUCGGGAGCGCUGAGACAGGUGCUGCAUGGCUGUCGUCAGCUCGUGUUGUGAAAUGUUGGGUUAAGUCCCGCAACGAGCGCAACCCUUAUCCUUGUUUGCCAGCACAUAAUGGUGGGAACUCCAGGGAGACUGCCGGUGAUAAACCGGAGGAAGGUGGGGACGACGUCAAGUCAUCAUGGCCCUUACGAGUAGGGCUACACGCGUGCUACAAUGGCAGAUACAGAGGGCAGCGAGACAGCGAUGUUUAGCGAAUCCCUUAAAGUUUGUCGUAGUCCGGAUUGGAGUCUGCAACUCGACUCCAUGAAGUCGGAAUCGCUAGUAAUCGUGGAUCAGAAUGCCACGGUGAAUACGUUCCCGGGCCUUGUACACACCGCCCGUCACACCAUGGGAGUGGGCUGCACCAGAAGUAGAUAGCUUAACCUUCGGGAGGGCGUUUACCACGGUGUGGUUCAUGACUGGGGUGAAGUCGUAACAAGGUAACCA